AGAAAGGGCGGCUCAUAUCAGUGCUUCCCCUUUCCUCUUCCCAUGGCAGCAUGGCUUCCCUGUCCUGGCUUUCAUCCUCAGAACAGGAAAUCUCAACUUUGCCCACACUUCUUGAGAUGGUUUAAGACAGCUUUAUAUAUGAACACCUGAAAACAAGACAGCUUGAGAAAGGGCCAAGACUUCAGGAGCUCACAUUUAAAAAGUACAAGAGACAAGGAAGUGGGAACUUGGCAAGAAGACAAUGAGAGUGUUAACUGACUAAACAGACCUACCAGAUUUAUAUUUGCCUAGCCUACAUAAAAAAGCUACUGGAAGUUAGUCAUAUCCUGUGGGAGUGAGUGAGGAGAAGGAAAAGAAUGAGCUCUGCUUACUCAGAGUUCCUAAUCAAACACCAGGAGCGGAGAAGAACUGAGUAAUUCUAAAUUUUUGCACACAUGUGAAAUUAGAAUUUGCUGGAGAAGCAACGGCAAAAUCCAACGUAUACCCUGUGGUAGUCUACAGAAGUAGUACUCUUCUGACUCACAACAGCCUUUCCUGCACUAUCAGUUCCUAGCACAUGAUUCUCCUGAAAACGACCAUCUACACUUGCCAAGCCUCCAGUGACUGUCAAGGAAGGAAAAAAAAAAAGAAAAAAAAAAAAGAAGAUACUGUCUCUUCACAGCUACCAUGCAAUUCCAGGAACCUUUCUCAAGCCCACAACAGGGAAGAUAUCUGCCUUGUUCUUUCUUUCUUUCAUCUACAACUACUGCAGACGUUUUGCUCCAGGAUUAUAAGAUUGUGUCUCUAGGAAUGAGAGAGCCUCUGGGAAAGUACUACGUUCCUUAUCUGUCAUUUUGGGAACUGACAUAAACUGCCAUUGAGUUCAUCUGUAUUUCCUAGAAUACGCUCAGGACUUCACCAGAUCAGACCUAUGUAAAAACAAACACAUACAAAAUACUGGAUGUACCCAAAUUUCCUGACUCACUUUAUCAAAUUCACAGCUGUAUAGUUCCAGGUAAAGAAGUAGAUAUACUAUUCUUAUUAGUUUUUCUAUUUCAGAAAACAUGUAAGAUUGAAGACUGUAACUUAACUGAAGCCAGGGAUACGAAAAAAGAGGAAGUAGAAGAAUAAUGUACCAAUAAAAUGUUGACAGUUCUCUGUUUUUUGCCAAUUGUUGAUAAAAUGACAGACGGUAAUGUUUAUGAAAUGUAUAAUUCAAAGCAAAUUUGCCUAGAUAACCAAGUUAAAGAUGCUUUAUCUUCCCUAACAAACAUAAUGCAGCAAUCAGCAAAACCCAGAGUACAUAAUACAAACUGAAAAUGCAAGAAAACAAAUCUUUUCUUUUUGCCUAAGUCAACAUAUUUUCCGAGCACAAAUAAAAUUUUUGGCUUUCUUUCAAAUCUUCACAGCUAAUCAAUAGUUUAGUCAUACGAUGAAAAAUGAUGUAUCCAUAUUCUUCACAAUUGACAUUUCCUAACUGUCUCCAAGGUCGCAUUGAUUGCCAGUUGUUCAGUUUACCCAACUUCUGUUUUGAGCCAAAUAAUAUGAUCUUUGUUUCAUUAAUAUUUAAUAGUAAUUUAGAUUGCGCCAGAUGAUCUUAAAGCUCAUUUAAAUCAGCUUGAAGAUAAUAUUAAGCUUUCUUCUAGUAUAAUCUAUUAUCAUAAAUGAUUGUGUCAUCUGCAUAUAAAUGGUGAGUUGAAUAUGAUAAUGAAGUGCAAAGAUUAUCAAUAUAGAACAACAAAUGCAUCUGACUUAAAAUAAAUCCUUCAGGGACCCAUUU
ensembl:lncRNA